GGCAGCUAAUACAUGCAAGUCGUACGCACUGGCCCAACUGAUUGAUGGUGCUUGCACCUGAUUGACGAUGGAUCACCAGUGAGUGGCGGACGGGUGAGUAACACGUAGGUAACCUGCCCCGGAGCGGGGGAUAACAUUUGGAAACAGAUGCUAAUACCGCAUAACAACAAAAGCCACAUGGCUUUUGUUUGAAAGAUGGCUUUGGCUAUCACUCUGGGAUGGACCUGCGGUGCAUUAGCUAGUUGGUAAGGUAACGGCUUACCAAGGCGAUGAUGCAUAGCCGAGUUGAGAGACUGAUCGGCCACAAUGGAACUGAGACACGGUCCAUACUCCUACGGGAGGCAGCAGUAGGGAAUCUUCCACAAUGGGCGCAAGCCUGAUGGAGCAACACCGCGUGAGUGAAGAAGGGUUUCGGCUCGUAAAGCUCUGUUGUUGGAGAAGAACGUGCGUGAGAGUAACUGUUCACGCAGUGACGGUAUCCAACCAGAAAGUCACGGCUAACUACGUGCCAGCAGCCGCGGUAAUACGUAGGUGGCAAGCGUUAUCCGGAUUUAUUGGGCGUAAAGCGAGCGCAGGCGGUUGCUUAGGUCUGAUGUGAAAGCCUUCGGCUUAACCGAAGAAGUGCAUCGGAAACCGGGCGACUUGAGUGCAGAAGAGGACAGUGGAACUCCAUGUGUAGCGGUGGAAUGCGUAGAUAUAUGGAAGAACACCAGUGGCGAAGGCGGCUGUCUGGUCUGCAACUGACGCUGAGGCUCGAAAGCAUGGGUAGCGAACAGGAUUAGAUACCCUGGUAGUCCAUGCCGUAAACGAUGAGUGCUAGGUGUUGGAGGGUUUCCGCCCUUCAGUGCCGGAGCUAACGCAUUAAGCACUCCGCCUGGGGAGUACGACCGCAAGGUUGAAACUCAAAGGAAUUGACGGGGGCCCGCACAAGCGGUGGAGCAUGUGGUUUAAUUCGAAGCUACGCGAAGAAACCUUACCAGGUCUUGACAUCUUGCGCUAACCUUAGAGAUAAGGCGUUCCCUUCGGGGACGCAAUGACAGGUGGUGCAUGGUCGUCGUCAGCUCGUGUCGUGAGAUGUUGGGUUAAGUCCCGCAACGAGCGCAACCCUUGUUACUAGUUGCCAGCAUUAAGUUGGGCACUCUAGUGAGACUGCCGGUGACAAACCGGAGGAAGGUGGGGACGACGUCAGAUCAUCAUGCCCCUUAUGACCUGGGCUACACACGUGCUACAAUGGACGGUACAACGAGUCGCAAGCUCGCGAGAGUAAGCUAAUCUCUUAAAGCCGUUCUCAGUUCGGACUGUAGGCUGCAACUCGCCUACACGAAGUCGGAAUCGCUAGUAAUCGCGGAUCAGCAUGCCGCGGUGAAUACGUUCCCGGGCCUUGUACACACCGCCCGUCACACCAUGGGAGUUUGUAACGCCCAAAGUCGGUGGCCUAACCUUUCAUGGAGGAGCCGCCUAAUACGGUCA
rnacentral:rRNA from 1 species